GUAACCCAGUAAGGUCACGGGAAGAACACCCGUUGAUAGGCUCUACGUGGAAGUCCAGUAAUGGAUGCAGCGGAGGAGUACUAAUAGACCGAGGGCUUGACCAA
rnacentral:rRNA from 1 species